rnacentral:lncRNA from 1 species
CUCUUCUCCUCUCAGUCAUUCUGGAUUAUAGUCCCGAGGAGGCGAGUCAUUCACAGAGAACCGGGCUCAACGUUUCCCGCGGCUGUUAUCGCCUCUGUCUCUUUCUCACCCCUUCUGUGAGAGUUCACCGCUGGUGGAGCUGUGUGAAGCUGAGGAGAGUUCAGACCUCAACCUGGAGGAGCUUCACUCAUGCCGGAGAUCCUCUACCAUGACGACUGUGGCCAGAUCUUUCAUCGGGAUCUUCUGGCUCCUGCGGUUGGUGUGUGCGGUCUUCCCUGAGGAACCGGGACCUCUGAACUUUAUCCCCACUGAAGGUAACAUUGUCUCUGUUUCACAUGCAGUCAUCAAGGAUCAGGGUUGGGCCCGUCUGCACUC